rnacentral:lncRNA from 1 species
GCCCUUUGACUGUGCCGGGCAUUAACCAUUUAGCUGCUGGAUUAUGGAGAGGUCUGAGAAAUCCUGGGGAAGGAUCGGGGGCUGUGAAGGAAGCAGUUAGGGGACCAGUGCCUAUUAACCGGUGUGUUCUGCAGUAUUUUCACAAUCCUUAAAGCCACAUAGGUGCAUACCUUCUGGUUGUUGGUUCUGCUUGUCCGUUUAAUCCCUGGGAACCAACGUCAGCACUGGCUUAAUCCCUUCUCUUCUUUUUAGGGCUUUUACCACAAGGAUCCAAGCCUUCUCAGGCUGGCAAAGGAGCCGCUGGCAAGUGCAGAACCUGGGUCGCUGGGCUUAGCCGCUGGCGGGCAUCCCCAGAGAACUGGGGAGGUGGGAUGCCCUUCUUUCCACCAGAGGGAUGGAGAGACAGGAGUCAGCAGGCAUCAGAAUCUUUGCCCCCUUCUCCUGGGUCAUCCAGUGGACAGCCCAGCCGCCAAGCGCCCGCCGGAUCCCUUCCCAGGCAGCGUGGGGCAGGGGGCCAGAGGCUGGCAGGAGGGGCUGGACUCGUCAUUUGGGAAUGAGGCGGAGGCAAAACAGCAUGAUGACUCCACAGGUAAGGGAGCAGGGGAGGGGCUGCAGGCGCCCAGCCCGUGAGGGUUUGGGGUUGGGGCUUUUGCAGAAGGGGGGGGGGUGUCAGUAGGUCCUUUACAAGUGGGUCACACCCAGCUAUCUGAUUGCCCACCUGGAUGGAAUAGCUCUCUGGAAGUUCCUUAGCAUCUAUAGGCCAGAGCCUUCCAGCAAGUGACUUCUCUUCUCAUCUGCCUCCUCCCAAGCCAUGGCGUGUUGGUAAUGGUAUAAUGACAGUGUCCAGUGUGUGGAUUCUGGAGUCAGAGUGCCUGGGUCCUGACUUUGCUGAUGUGGUGCUGUGUGACCUUGGGCUAGUUACUUCACCUCUCUGGGCUACAGUUUAUUCAUCUACAAAGUGGGGAUAAAGACAGCACCUGCCUCAAAGAGAUGGCGGCCAAGAUGCAAUGAUAUCACUCACCUUUGGCGCCCUUAGUAAGGACUCAGUGAACAGUCACCUUUGUGAUUAUUUGUGCCACAAAUCCCCUGUCUGGGGGAGGGGGGACUGCUUCUCCUGAAGGACCUCAGGAACGAACAGCAAUUCGCUGGGCUGACUGGACCAUGGAAACUCAGUUUGGACUCUGCCAGUGUUAGGACUUGGGCAUGUCCUGGACCUCUGUCACGCUGUGUCCUUCACGGAAGUUUCUGGCACUGCCAGGCCCAGUCUCAGUUCUUCAGGAUCAUCUCAGUUUCUUGGCCUCCUGGAUUGCUGGGCCUGGACCAGGCCCCUUGCUGGCCUUGCCCAGGCACCCCUGCACCUGGCGUGGGUCUGUCUCUGCUCUCCCGGGCCUCUGCCUGCACCGGGAAGCUGUGGGUCCCUCCGCCUUCUUGGGUUACUGCACCUGUGGCCUGUGUUGAAACUCUCCGGCCUUCUCACCUUCCAGUGCCCUCCGUCCAUGUCGGGAUUGUCUCUUCACGCUGUCACUAAGCCAACAGUAUCACUGAGCGCAAAGCAGAGCUAGCCCAAGUCUAUACCAACUGGAUCCUGCGCCCCAGCUGCCCCAACCUGAGGCCCAACAUAGCAGAGUCCUCCUCUCGGCCCGUCAGUCCAUGUCAGGGCAUUAUCAGGCUCCUGU